GACGUAGGGGGCCAGCGUUGUUCGGAAUUACUGGGUGUAAAGGGUUCGUAGGCGGUGCGGCAAGUUGGGAGUGAAAUCUCUGGGCUUAACCCAGAGGCUGCUUCCAAAACUGCUGUGCUUGAGUGUGGGAGAGGCGCGUGGAAUUGCAGGUGUAGCGGUGAAAUGCGUAGAUAUCUGCAGGAACACCCGUGGCGAAAGCGACUCUCUGGACGGCAACUGACGCUGAGGCACGAAAGCGUGGGGAGCAAACAGG
rnacentral:rRNA from 1 species